rnacentral:rRNA from 1 species
UACGGAGGGAGCUAGCGUUGUUCGGAUAUACUGGGCGUAAAGCGCACGUAGGCGGCGCCGUAAGUCAGGGGUGAAAUCCCGGAGCUCAACUCCGGAACUGCCCUUGAAACUGCAGUGCUAGAAUCCUGGAGAGGCGAGUGGAAUUCCGAGUGUAGAGGUGAAAUUCGUAGAUAUUCGCAAGAACACCAGUGGCGAAGGCGGCUCACUGGCCCGGUACUGACGCUGAGGUGCGAAAGCGUGGGGAGCAAACAGG